UAGCUGUCCGGCCUUUAAGGUUGGGUGGCGCAGUAACGCAUUAAGUUAUCCGCCUGGGGAGUACGGUCGCAAGAUUAAAACUCAAAGGAAUUGACGGGGGCUGCACAAGCGUGGAGCAUGUGGUUUAAUUCGAAGCAACGCGCAGAACCUUACCAGCGUUUGACAUCCUGAUCGCGGAUUAGAGAGAUCUUUUCCUUCAGUUCGGCUGGAUCAGUGACAGGUGCUGCAUGGCUGUCGUCAGCUCGUGUCGUGAGAUGUUGGGUUAAGUCCCGCAACGAGCGCAACCCUCGUCCUUAGUUGCCAUCAUUUAGUUGGGCACUCUAAGGAAACUGCCGGUGAUAAGCCGGAGGAAGGUGGGGAUGACGUCAAGUCCUCAUGGCCCUUACACGCUGGGCUACACACGUGCUACAAUGGCGGUGACAGUGGGCAGCAACCGGGCGACCGGUAGCUAAUCUCCAAAAACCGUCUCAGUUCGGAUUGUUCUCUGCAACUCGAGAGCAUGAAGGCGGAAUCGCUAGUAAUCGCGGAUCAGCAUGCCGCGGUGAAUACGUUCCCAGGCCUUGUACACACCGCCCGUCACACCAUGGGAGUUGGAUUCACUCGAAGGCGUUGAGCUAACCCGCAAGGGAGGCAGGCGACCACAGUGGGUUUAGCGACUGG
rnacentral:rRNA from 1 species